GCGAGAGUAAACCUCCAAGUAAGCCGAAGGCAAAGAAAGAAAAGGCAGCGAAACCAAAAGCAGAGAAGAAAGCGAAAAAGAAGCCCAAAGUGAAGGCCAAGGCUGAGAAGAAACCGAAAGAAAAGGCCGAGAAGAAAGCCAAAUCACCGAAAAAGGCUGCUGCCAAGAAAGCCAGCAAGCCUAAGAAAAAGUCGCCCAAGAAGGCAGCUGCCAAAAAGUGAAUCUCGUGAACAUUGACGAAUUAAGAGACGCUCAUUUUAAGUGCUCGUUAAAUUAAACAGUGCAAUACAUAGAUCUGUCCCUUUCCAUGCUGUAGAACUCGGGAAAUCUGAUUGGAACUCGUGUUAUCAAUAUUACUUAUAUUUUCGUACCAGAAAGGUAUAAACUUUUGUUUGUUUUCAUCACAAAAGUUAUAUAUAGAUCGUUUUUCAUGUCAUCAUUGAAUACGAAUCUGGACGAUGUCUACUAUACUACAGAUUUUCGCCAGAUUUAUAACGAACUUUUACAUUUUUUUACUGUAAAACAGUAUUGUAGAACGAUCCUCUUGUUAUUUUUAAUAUUGUAUUACGUAUUUUCAUGUUAUUUUCAUGUUUAUUACAUGAAUUUCGUUUGAAUAAACGAAAACUAACUU
rnacentral:misc_RNA from 1 species